rnacentral:rRNA from 1 species
ACUCAAAUGAAUAGACGGGGACCCGCACAAGCAGUGGAGUAUGUGGUUUAAUUCGAAGCAACGCGAAGAACCUUACCAGGGCUUGACAUCCCCUGCAUAGCUAAGAGAUUAGUGAAGUCCUACGGGACAGGGAGACAGGUGGUGCAUGGUUGUCGUCAGCUCGUGUCGUGAGAUGUUGGGUUAAGUCCCGCAACGAGCGCAACCCUUACUGUCAGUUGCCAUCAUUAAGUUGGGCACUCUGGCGGGACUGCCGGUGAUAAAUCGGAGGAAGGUGGGGAUGACGUCAAAUCAUCAUGCCCCUUAUGUUCUGGGCUACACACGUACUACAAUGGACGGUACAACGGGAAGCGAAGGAGUGAUCUGGAGCGAAUCCUAUAAAAGCGUCCUCAGUUCGGAUUGCAGGCUGAAACCCGCCUGCAUGAAGUUGGAAUUGCUAGUAAUGGCAGGUCAGCAUACUGCCGUGAAUACGUUCCCGGGUCUUGUACACACCGCCCGU